rnacentral:rRNA from 1 species
UCCCAGACUCCUACGGGAGGCAGCAGUGGGGAAUAUUGCACAAUGGGGGAAACCCUGAUGCAGCGACGCCGCGUGAGUGAAGAAGUACUUCGUUAUGUAAAGCUCUAUCAGCAGGGAAGAAAAUGACGGUACCUGAGUAAGAAGCCCCGGCUAACUACGUGCCAGCAGCCGCGGUAAUACGUAGGGGGCAAGCGUUAUCCGGAUUUACUGGGUGUAAAGGGAGCGUAGACGGCAGUGCAAGUCUGGAGUGAAAGGCGGGGGCUCAACCCCCGGACUGCCCUUGGAACUGCAUGGCUGGAGUGCGGGAGGGGCAGGCGGAAUUCCUGGUGUAGCGGUGAAAUGCGUAGAUAUCAGGAGGAACACCGGUGGCGAAGGCGGCCUGCUGGACUGCAACUGACGUUGAGGCCCGAAAGCGUGGGGAGCAAACAGGAUUAGAUACCCCCGUA